UUUAAUUUAAGGUUUAACCUGCCCACUGAAAUUUUUUGAAGGGCCGCAGUAAUUUGACUGUGCAAAGGUAGCAUAAUCAUUAGUUUUUUAAUUGAAAGCUUGUAUGAAGGGUUGGACGAGGUAAAUUCUGUCUCUAUUUAAUUUAAUGUAAAAUUUAAUUUUUAAGUUAAAAAGCUUAAAUUUUUUUAAAAGACGAGAAGACCCUAUAGAUCUUUAUAUUAAAAAUAUUAAUUUUAAUUAAGAAUAUUUAAUUUUUUAGUGUUUAUAAUAUUUUAUUGGGGUAAUAAAAAGAUUAAAAUAAUUCUUUUUUUAUUUUAACAUUUAUUUAUGAUUAUAUGAUCCAAUUUUAUUGAUUAAAAGAUUAAGUUACCUUAGGGAUAACAGCGUAAUUUUUUUGGAGAGUUCAUAUCGAUAAAAAAGUUUGCGACCUCGAUGUUGGAUUAAAAAUUAUCUUAGGUGCAGAAGUUUAAGAUUUUGGUCUGUUCGACCAUUAAAUUUUU
rnacentral:rRNA from 1 species